GCCAUCCAUCAUUAAUGACGUAUUUAAAUAACUGUUUUAGCUUCAAAAUCAUUAUAUAACUGAAUAUUUUUCAAUUUAAAGGCAUAUUUCUUUACUCUAUAGUUAUAUGAGAGUUUUUGAGAUGAAUUUCAACUUACUUUAUAAAUACUUGCAUUGUUUUCGUCGCUUGACCUUUUCUCAUAGUAAACAUUAAGCUUGUUAUUAUUAAACUCUUUAACCGGCUAAGGGGAAACCCUUUACGUAUUAUCACUAUUGUCUAUGAGGUUGUUGUGUUUAUUUUGAAAACUGAUAAAGCGUGACGCGAUAACAUUUGUAUAAAUACCAUGCAAGCGCGUCCAUUUUUUUAAACAGAGCUAGCCAGUCGUGGAUGCAAAUCAUUUAAAGAUUGAUUCAUCAAGUUGAUGACAGCAGUCAUUUCGUCACGUCUUUUGAAGCUUGUUUGAAGUAAAGAUUUAACGCCAUGGAUAAAAAAUCGAAAGCUGUGUCCAGUGCUGCUGCCUCUCUGAGAAAAAUGGGAGAUAGCUUACAAAAAAAACAAGAGGCGAAAAAAAAGAAUAGCAAUACAUCUAAAAACUCCUCAUAUGGAAAUAAAAGCAAAAACUCGUAUGGUACAAAGAAAACGGAAAAGAAAAAAUGGUAGCUGGUAAACAUUGAACAACGCUUAUGUAAUGUUUUUUUCCAUACAAAGAACUGUUGUGGAUUUCAACGCAGCUAUUACAACACGAACAUCAACACAAUGAGAAAUGUACAUCGUUACACAUGAAUGACUUCAGAAUCAAAACAAAACAAAAUCAAGUCAUCGUUUGACAUCGCCUGAACUGAAAAUUGGCAGCGAUAUGUCAGAAAAGUGACAUUCUGUAAACAAUCUAGUUUUACGCGCACUUAAUCUGCCAUUAUUGUUUUUAGCGGCAAAAAAAAAUUGUACAUAUAUUAAAUAUAUUUUCUUUUGAUGUUUGUCAAUUUUUCGUGUUCGUUCUUGUCCUAUUUUAUGUGUGUAUAUAAAAUACAAUUUUAUUUGUCGUGUAUGUAUGUGUAUGGAUUAAAUGUGUGUUAAAAUUUCUAGUUUUAUUUAUGUUUAUUUUUUGUUUGAUUUGUAAAAUAUGUAAAUAUGUACAUAGAAAGGUUUUUCCGCCUUAUAAUUUUAA